rnacentral:rRNA from 1 species
AUUGAACGCUGGCGGAAUGCUUUACACAUGCAAGUCGAGCGGCAGCACGGGGGCAACCCUGGUGGCGAGCGGCGAACGGGUGAGUAAUACAUCGGAACAUGCCCAGUCGUGGGGGAUAACACUUCGAAAGAAGUGCUAAUACCGCAUACGUCCUGAGGGAGAAAGCGGGGGAUCGCAAGACCUCGCGCGAUUGGAGUGGCCGAUGUCAGAUUAGCUAGUUGGUGGGGUAAAGGCCUACCAAGGCAACGAUCUGUAGCUGGUCUGAGAGGAUGAUCAGCCAAACUGGGAAUGAGACCCGGCCCCGGCUCCUAAGGGAGGGCGGAGUGGGGAAUUUUGGAAAAUGGGGGCAACCCUGAUCCAACCAUUCCGGGUGAGUGAAGAAGGCCUUCGGGUUGUAAAGCUCUUUUGGCAGGAACGAAACGGCGAGGCCUAACAUAGCUUGCUAAUGACGGUACCUGAAGAAGAAGCACCGGCUAACUACGUG